rnacentral:rRNA from 1 species
CCUACGGGAGGCAGCAGUGAGGAAUAUUGGUCAAUGGACGAGAGUCUGAACCAGCCAAGUAGCGUGAAGGAUGACUGCCCUAUGGGUUGUAAACUUCUUUUAUAUGGGAAUAAAACGUUCCACGUGUGGGAUUUUGUAUGUACCAUAUGAAUAAGGAUCGGCUAACUCCGUGCCAGCAGCCGCGGUAAUACGGAGGAUCCGAGCGUUAUCCGGAUUUAUUGGGUUUAAAGGGAGCGUAGGUGGAUUGUUAAGUCAGUUGUGAAAGUGUGCGGCUCAACCGUAAAAUUGCAGUUGAAACUGGCAGUCUUGAGUACAGUAGAGGUGGGCGGAAUUCGUGGUGUAGCGGUGAAAUGCUUAGAUAUCACGAAGAACUCCGAUUGCGAAGGCAGUUCACUGGACUGCAACUGACACUGAGGCUCGAAAGUGUGGGUAUCAAACAGGAUUAGAUAGCCUUGUAGUC